UGAGAUUUUAACACGAAGUGAGUGGCGGACGGGUGAGUAACACGUGGGUAACCUGCCCAGAAGCAGGGGAUAACACCUGGAAACAGAUGCUAAUACCGUAUAACAGAGAAAACCGCCUGGUUUUCUUUUAAAAGAUGGCUCUGCUAUCACUUCUGGAUGGACCCGCGGCGCAUUAGCUAGUUGGUGAGGUAACGGCUCACCAAGGCGAUGAUGCGUAGCCGACCUGAGAGGGUAAUCGGCCACAUUGGGACUGAGACACGCCCAGACUCCUACGGGAGG
rnacentral:rRNA from 1 species